GUUUGAUUAUGGCUCAGGAUGAACGCUAGCGGCAGGCUUAACACAUGCAAGUCGAGGGGCAGCGGGGAGUAGCAAUACUCUGCCGGCGACCGGCGAAAGGGUGCGUAACGCGUGAGCGACAUACCCGUGACUGGGGCAUAACCGAUGGAAACGUUGACUAAUUCCCCAUAACACAUCGUGCUGCAUGGCAUGGUGUUGAAAAUUUCGAUGGUCACGGAUUGGCUCGCGCCUGAUUAGCUAGUUGGUGGGGUAACGGCUCACCAAGGCGACGAUCAGUAGGGGUUCUGAGAGGAAGGUCCCCCACAAUGGAACUGAGACACGGUCCAUACUCCUACGGGAGGCAGCAGUGAGGAAUAUUGGUCAAUGGGCGGAAGCCUGAACCAGCCAUGCCGCGUGCAGGAUGACGGCCCUAUGGGUUGUAAACUGCUUUUGCUGUGGAGCAAUAAGGGUCACGUGCUGACCCGAUGAGAGUACACAGCGAAUAAGCAUCGGCUAACUCCGUGCCAGCAGCCGCGGUAAUACGGAGGAUGCGAGCGUUAUCCGGAUUUAUUGGGUUUAAAGGGUGCGUAGGCUGUGCGGUAAGUCAGAGGUGAAAGGUCCGCGCUCAACGCGGGAACUGCCUUUGAUACUGUCGUGCUGGAGUGCGGAUGCCGUUGGAGGAAUGAGUGGUGUAGCGGUGAAAUGCAUAGAUAUCACUCAGAACACCGAUUGCGAAGGCAUCUGACGAAUCCGUAACUGACGCUGAGGCACGAAAGCGUGGGGAUAGAACAGGAUUAGAUACCCUGGUAUUCCACGCUGUAAACGAUGAUGGCUAACCGCUGGCGAUAGAGUGUCAGUGGCCAAGCGAAAGCGAUAAGCCAUCCACCUGGGGAGUACGUCGGCAACGAUGAAACUCAAAGGAAUUGACGGGGGCCCGCACAAGCGGAGGAACAUGUGGUUUAAUUCGAUGAUACGCGAGGAACCUUACCCGGGCUCGAACGGCAGGGGAAUGGACCAGAGAUGGUCCAGUCUUCGGACUCCUGUCGAGGUGCUGCAUGGUUGUCGUCAGCUCGUGCCGUGAGGUGUCGGCUCAAGUGCCAUAACGAGCGCAACCCUUGUCACUAGUUACCAACAGUUCGGCUGGGGACUCUAGUGAGACUGCCACCGCAAGGUGUGAGGAGGGGGGGGAUGACGUCAAAUCAGCACGGCCCUUACGUCCGGGGCGACACACGUGUUACAAUGGCGGCCACAGAGGGAAGCUACCUGGUGACAGGAUGCGGAUCUCGAAAAGCCGUCUCAGUUCGGACUGGAGUCUGCAACCCGACUCCACGAAGUUGGAUUCGCUAGUAAUCGCGCAUCAGCCAUGGCGCGGUGAAUACGUUCCCGGGCCUUGUACACACCGCCCGUCAAGCCAUGGAAGCCGUGGGCGCCUGAAGUCCGUGACCGAGAGGAGCGGCCUAAGGCG
rnacentral:rRNA from 1 species